rnacentral:lncRNA from 10 species
CGAAACACAAAGUAAAUUUCGAGCUAAGGGUUACAGUCCUUUAAAUCUGGAAAUUUCAAGUAUCCCUCGGGAUCGUGUCCCUGGGAGGCGGAUAGGAUUCAGCACUCUAGAAUUGUCUCACCAUUUGAAUAGGUGCUGCUCAGCCCUUUUGAGUCUGUCAUCGGAAAGACCAUGGCUUUCUCGCUUUUCAUCUUUUUGGAUGGCUGCUUGUCGCAAUAUUGUCUUCUUCGCUUUAGACAAUGUCUUACUAUGUUGACCGUGCUGGACUCGAAUUCCUGGGCUCAAGCAAUCCUUCUGCCUCAACCUUCUGAUUAUUUCGACUACGGGUGUGCGCCACCAUGCCUGGCUUAGAAAAGGACUUUAUGUUGAACCUCUUUUCUCUUACAAUCAAAUAAUAAAUUCAUUGAGUCAUACUA